rnacentral:rRNA from 1 species
UGGGGAAUAUUGGACAAUGGGCGCAAGCCUGAUCCAGCCAUGCCGCGUGAGUGAUGAAGGCCCUAGGGUUGUAAAGCUCUUUCACCGGUGAAGAUAAUGACGGUAACCGGAGAAGAAGCCCCGGCUAACUUCGUGCCAGCAGCCGCGGUAAUACGAAGGGGGCUAGCGUUGUUCGGAUUUACUGGGCGUAAAGCGCACGUAGGCGGACUAUUAAGUCAGGGGUGAAAUCCCGGGGCUCAACCCCGGAACUGCCUUUGAUACUGGUAGUCUUGAGUGCGAGAGAGGUGAGUGGAAUUCCGAGUGUAGAGGUGAAAUUCGUAGAUAUUCGGAGGAACACCAGUGGCGAAGGCGGCUCACUGGCUCGAUACUGACGCUGAGGUGCGAAAGCGUGGGGAGAAAACAGG